rnacentral:rRNA from 1 species
UAGUCCACGCUGUAAACGAUGAUCACUCGCUGUUAGCAAUACAUCGUUAGCGGCUAAGCAAAAGCAUUAAGUGAUCCACCUGGGGAGUACGGUCGCAAGAUUGAAACUCAAAGGAAUUGACGGGGGCCCGCACAAGCGGAGGAGCAUGUGGUUUAAUUCGAUGAUACGCGAGGAACCUUACCAAGGCUUAAAUGCAGAACGACAGUUUCCGAAAGGAGACCUUCCCUCGGGACGGACUGCAAGGUGCUGCAUGGUUGUCGUCAGCUCGUGCCGUGAGGUGUCGGGUUAAGUCCCAUAACGAGCGCAACCCCUAUUUCUAGUUGCCAGCAUUUCGGAUGGGGACUCUAGAAAACUGCCUACGCAAGUAGUGAGGAAGGUGGGGAUGACGUCAAAUCAGCACGGCCCUUAUGUCUUGGGCUACACACGUGCUACAAUGGCAGGUACAGAGGGCAGCUACAUGGUGACAUGAUGCUAAUCUCGAAAGCCU